rnacentral:rRNA from 1 species
UACGGAGGGUGCGAGCGUUGUCCGGAAUCACUGGGCGUAAAGGGCGCGUAGGCGGCGCGGGGAGUCAACGGUGAAAGCUCGGCGCUCAACGCCGAGUCGGCCGUCGAUACUCCCCGUGCUCGAGCACUGUAGAGGCAGGUGGAAUUCCGGGUGUAGCGGUGGAAUGGCGUAGAGAUCCGGAAGAACACCGGUGGCGAAGGCGGCCUGACUGGGCCAGUAGCUGGACGCUGAGGCGCGACAGCGUGGGGAGCAAACACGG